CCAUGUGGUGCUUUGUAAAAGAAGAUAAAAGGGAAUGUGGUGAGAAUCCGCAGCAGCCCCCGUUACUGUUAUUGGAAUGAAAAUUGCAUAAGUGUCAUUGUAUCUUCUUUGGCAUUAAGGAUAUGGCUCCUAACCUUAAAAGCGAGGAAUGAUAUGAGAAGACAGCAAUGAGUAAAAUGACCAUAAGCCAGGAAACCUGCCAUAUGAGAAUG
rnacentral:ncRNA from 1 species